UACGGAGGGUGCAAGCGUUAUCCGGAUUUACUGGGUUUAAAGGGUGCGUAGGUGGGUAAGUAAGUCAGUGGUGAAAUCUUCGAGCUUAACUCGGAAACUGCCAUUGAUACUAUUUAUCUUGAAUACUUUGGAGGUAAGCGGAAUAUGUCAUGUAGCGGUGAAAUGCUUAGAUAUGACAUAGAACACCAAUUGCGAAGGCAGCUUACUAGACAGUUAUUGACACUGAGGCACGAAAGCGUGGGGAUCGAACAGG
rnacentral:rRNA from 1 species